rnacentral:rRNA from 1 species
UCCGGAAUGCGACGCUACCAUGCAGUCGAGCGGGCUCUUCGGACUAGUGGCGGACGGGUGAGUAACACGUGAGAAUCUGGCUCCCGGUCGGGGACAACAGAGGGAAACUUCUGCUAAUCCCGGAUGAGCCGAAAGGUAAAAGAUUUAUCGCCGGGAGAUGAGCUCGCGUCUGAUUAGCUAGUUGGUGAGGUAAAGGCUCACCAAGGCGACGAUCAGUAUCUGGUCUGACAGGAUGAUCAGCCACACUGGGACUGAGACACGGCCCAUACUCCUACGGGAGGCAGCAGUGGGGAAUUUUCCGCAAUGGGCGCAAGCCUGACGGAGCAAGACCGCGUGGGGGAGGAAGGCUCUUGGGUUGUAAACCCCUUUUCUCAAGGAAGAACACAUUGACGGUACUUGAGGAAUAAGCCUCGGCUAACUCCGUGCCACCAGCCGCGGUAAUACGGAGGAGGCAAGCGUUAUCCGGAAUGAUUGGGCGUAAAGCGUCCGUAGGUGGCUGUUCAAGUCUGCUGUCAAAUACAGUGGCUUAACUACUGAAAGGCAGUGGACACUGAACAGCUAGAGUACGGUAGGGGCAGAGGGAAUUCCCGGUGUAGCGGUGAAAUGCGUAGAUAUCGGGAAAAACACCGGUGGCGAAAACGCUCUGCUGGGCCGUAACUGACACUGAGGGACAAAAAGCUAGGGGAGCGAAUGGGAUUAGAUACCCCAGUAGUCCUAUCCGUAAACGAUGGAAACUAGGUGUAGCCUGUAUCGACCCGGGCUGUGCCCAAUCUAACGCGUUAAGUUUCCCGCCUGGGGAGUACGCACGCGAGUGUGAACUCAAAGGAAUUGACUGGGGGCCGCGCAAGCGGUGGCAGUAUGUGGUUUAAUUCUAUGCAUCGCGAAGAACCUUACCCAGGGCUUGUCAUUGUCGGAUUCUUGCUGAUAUGCCGACAGCGCCUUCAGGAAGUCGCACUACAGGAGAGUGCAUGGACUGUCGUGCAGCUCCGUGUCUCGAAAUGCUGGAGUUAGUACCACGCACUGAACGGCAACCCCUCGUCCAUAGUGGCCAAUCAUUCAUGUUGGCACCUUUACGAAGACUGCCGUGUACAGAACCGGACGAGGGUAGACAUUACGCCAAGUU